UAGAUACCCGGGUAGUCCACGCCCUAAACGAUGCGCGCUAGGUCUUUGGGGUUUACCUGGGGGCCGAAGCCAACGCGUUAAGCGCGCCGCCUGGGGAGUACGGCCGCAAGGCUGAAACUCAAAGGAAUUGACGGGGGCCCGCACAAGCGGUGGAGCAUGUGGUUUAAUUCGAAGCAACGCGAAGAACCUUACCAGGCCUUGACAUGCUAGGGGACCUAG
rnacentral:rRNA from 1 species